rnacentral:rRNA from 1 species
GAGUUUGAUCUUGGCUCAGAUUGAACGCUGGCGGCAUGCCUUACACAUGCAAGUCGAGCGGCAGCGCGGGGGCAACCCUGGCGGCGAGCGGCGAACGGGUGAGUAAUACAUCGGAACGUGUCCAGUAGCGGGGGAUAACCUCUCGAAAGAGAGGCUAAUACCGCAUACGACCUACGGGUGAAAGCGGGGGACCGCAAGGCCUCGCACUAUUGGAGCGGCCGAUGUCGGAUUAGCUAGUUGGCGGGGUAAAAGCCCACCAAGGCGACGAUCCGUAGCUGGUCUGAGAGGACGAUCAGCCACACUGGAACUGAGACACGGUCCAGACUCCUACGGGAGGCAGCAGUGGGGAAUUUUGGACAAUGGGGGCAACCCUGAUCCAGCCAUGCCGCGUGAGUGAAGAAGGCCUUCGGUUGUAAG